rnacentral:rRNA from 1 species
UACGAAGGGGGCUAGCGUUGCUCGGAAUCACUGGGCGUAAAGGGUGCGUAGGCGGGGCUUUAAGUCAGAGGGGAAAUCCUGGAGCUCAACUCCAGAACUGCCUUUGAUACUGAGGAUCUUGAGUUCGGGAGAGGUGAGUGGAACUGCGAGUGUAGAGGUGAAAUUCGUAGAUAUUCGCAAGAACACCAGUGGCGAAGGCGGCUCACUGGCCCGAUACUGACGCUGAGGCACGAAAGCGUGGGGAGCAAACAGG